GCACAGCGCAGGGCAGUGUAAUGGAGCCGGCCUGCUGAUGUAACGUGUGGGGUCCACCCUCAGCGAUUGAGAGAUAAUCUAAGCCAGGCCUGGUGACAUCUACCU
rnacentral:lncRNA from 1 species